UACGUAGGGUGCAAGCGUUGUCCGGAAUUAUUGGGCGUAAAGAGCUCGUAGGCGGUUUGUUGCGUCGGCUGUGAAAUCCCGAGGCUCAACCUCGGGUCUGCAGUCGAUACGAGCAAACUAGAGUGUUGCAGGGGAGACUGGAAUUCCUGGUGUAGCGGUGAAAUGCGCAGAUAUCAGGAGGAACACCGGUGGCGAAGGCGGGUCUCUGGGCAACAACUGACGCUGAUGAGCGAAAGCUAGGGGAGCAAACGGG
rnacentral:rRNA from 1 species